UCAGAAGAACUAUCAGCAGCCGACAACCUUCCUUAUAACAGUAACAGUGCUGCAUUAGAUUCUUGGCAUUAAAGUUUAAAUGACAGUGGUUGAUAAUAUAUGAUAAUAUGCUACUAUUAUACCACUCUUUUACAUAAAGAAUAAGAAAACGCUCCAAAAUCUUUAUUUUGCUCUGUUAGUUUAUUUGGUUAUGUUGUCUAAAGUGUAAUCUAGGCCUAGUAUGUUGUAACAAAUUUUGUGUUUGAUUCGGAGCAUAUUUUGAUGCCAAUGUCCGCUUCGUAAAUUAUGAACAAGAGCCUGAAUAACAAUUAAUUCAUACAAAUAUGCCUUUAGGAUACUACAGCAAGUACGUUACUCAGAGAGGUGCCCUCAAGUCUUGCAUGCUUUUCCUUUUCCACUUGGCUUGGAAAAGUAGGAUUAAACUACCAAUACUAAUUGCCAUUGGAUUCAUGGUGUUGGAUAUUAGGAUGCAGCUAGAGAUUAAUUUCAACAUGGGCAGAGGAAGAGACGAUGUACCAGAUGACCCAGAAAAUGUAUAUGAAGGCGUUGAGGAUAUUGACACACCUUCUGAAAUGUCAGGCACAGAAGUGAGUGAAACAGAAUCAUUCUCAACCGAGCCUUCCUCAGACAUGGAAGAGGAUGAAAAGGAGAAGUGCAGUGAUGGUUUUUGUUGCCCUGAUGAUAAUGAUGGUGAAGAUAAGCCACUCUUAGGGUAGAUAAGAGUGAGAGCAACAUCAGGAGUUAAAAUAAACAAUUGUAAGCCAUUUAUGUAUAUAUGGAAUGUUAGUGAUUUCACUUGAUACUAAAAAGUAGGCAUGUUUAACUUGUAUACUUAGGUACUUCGUAACUUGCCAAAUUAUACUAGCUAAUCAAGAAGGAAACGAAAAGAGAUUAAUUUUUCUAUUCAAAUUCAAAUUGAAGAUAUCUAAACAUCUAAUAUCUCAAUUAGUUGUGUACUCCAUUUUGGUAAAAUUAAUAUGUAAAUAUUGUUGUUGAUUAUUACUGUAUUUAGGCUUAACUUACUUUACGACAAAAAAGAAGUAAAAACUAGUCUUGAAAGAACCAAUAUUUCCUCAACAAGUUAUUGAUUUGAGCUCUUACUGUUCUCUACAAUCAAGUUGUGCAAGGGCUGUUUCCUAAGGACAGGGGCUUCUGGUUAUAGCCUACGUAUACCUAAUAGUAAUGAUGAGGUACAGUAAUUUUGUCAAUCUUAAAAGUCUAUUAAAAUUCAAAAAGUUUAUAGUUCAAUCACUGCUUAAACCGGACAUAUUUAUAAAACUCCGCCGCAGCAAACAUAUGUAUAAUAUUAUAUAUAUUAUGAAUAUGUAUAAUAUAUAAAUUAUAUAAUAUAUGUACAAUAUUAUAUAUUAAUAGGCAAGCAUGUUUCUUUAAAACAUUUUCUCAGCUCGUGUAAGUUACAUCGCAGGGAAUACGCAUAGGCCUAUCGUUAAAAAGAUAUUUUCCUGUAGAUGGGCAGAAUCCCUUUAAAAAUUAAAAUAGGAUCAAAAAUAAAUCGUUUCCGGGUCCAGGUCUUACCAUGAGAUCUAAUGUAAUAGCUAUUCCCUAUUUGGGAAAUUUGUGAAAUAAUAAAAAAAAGGUCAGUCUAAUUUACUGAAGCUUUCAAGUGAAAACAGUUGUAACAUUUUUGUUAUAUUUCUUGAGUUGCCUACUGUAGGCAUAACUUGUGUAUAUAAUACUGUAUUUUCACUAUCCAAUUAAUUGUUGUGAUAGUAGCCUAGGCUUAAAGCAACUUUGUAUUAAUUUAGUAAUACUGAAUAAUUUGGGGUUUUGAGUAAUAAUUUUAAUAAAUAUUUGUAGGUAA